GAAAGGCCUUAUGGCAAUGGUGGUCUUGUGAAUCGAGUCAGGUCCGGAAGGAAGCAGCUAUAAACUUGAUCCGCCAUGUGCUGUAAGUAUUUUUAUUUA
rfam:Jeotgalibaca sp. PTS2502, complete genome.